rnacentral:rRNA from 1 species
CGCUGGCGGCGUGCUUAACACAUGCAAGUCGAACGCGAAAGGGACUUCGGUCCUGAGUAAAGUGGCGCACGGGUGAGUAACGCGUAGAUAACCUGUCUUCAUGUCUGGAAUAAUACGCCGAAAGGGGUACUAAUACCGGAUAUUCUUGCUUUUCAUAAGUUAUGCAAGCAAAGGUGGCCUCUGCAUAUGCUACUGCAUGAAGAGGGGUCUGCGUACCAUUAGCUAGUAGGUGGGGUAAUGGCCUACCUAGGCGACGAUGGUUAGCGGGUCCGAGAGGAUGAUCCGCCACACUGGCACUGGAACACGGGCCAGACUCCUACGGGAGGCAGCAGUGAGGAAUAUUGCGCAAUGGGGGAAACCCUGACGCAGCGACGCCGCGUGAGUGAGGAAGGCCUUCGGGUCGUAAAGCUCUGUCAAGAGGAAAGAAGUGUACAAUGGCUAAUACCUGUUGUAUUUGACGGUACCUCUAAAGGAAGCACCGGCUAACUCCGUGCCAGCCGCCGC